ACGGCCACUGACAUUUUAUUUGGAGGAGACAGAAUGACCCAGUUUCGUUUAUCAGUCACAUGACCCAUAAGGUAUAAAGAGAUUUGCUGAACUGAACAAGACCACUAAUUUCACCAUGGCCUCAGAUCAAAGUGAAGAAAUCUAUGUUAGAUCCCGACCUGGGAGAGCUACCCGAUCUGAGAAAUUCGAAAGGACACGGAUUCCGCUGUUUCAAACAUGAUGGGGUGUACCUUUUUGUGCCGCCUCCAUCCAUGUUGAAGGGAGGCCAUCACACAGACAGAAUCAAAAGUAUCAAGGAAGCCGAACUGAAAGACGAUGACGUCAUUAUCUUGGCGUAUCCCAAGUGUGGAACCCAUUGGCUGUGGGAAGUCAUCGAGAUGCUAAAGAGUGGGACCAUCAAGUACCAAAAGGAUGUGAAAGAGACCCGGAUGAUGGAAUUCCUCUUCAAAGAUGGAAUAGAAGCAGUGCCGCCUCCACGGGUCUUCAACACCAACCUCCCUCUGCGCAUGCUCCCUACACAGGUCGUGGAGAAGAAGGUCAAGUGUAUUCAGAUCAUGCGCAAUCCUAAAGAUGCCUGUGUGUCCUUUUUCAACCACUCCAGAGAUCUGGCUGGACCGUAUGGCUAUGAAUGAGACUUCGCGGAGUUUACAGAAGCGUUUUUGUCAGGGAAACUGCCGUUUGGAUCCUAUUCCACCUAUCUGCGAGAAUGGAAAGCCGAAGUGGCAGCUUCACCAGAAUUACCUGUCCUUAAUAUGUUUUUAUGAGGACAUGAAAAUUGUGAGUAUUUCUAUCAGCUACAAACCUGCAUAAAUGGCAUUGUUGGCCAAACAUGAGGCCGGUUUAUCCGUAAACAACAGGAUCAAUCUGCAUAUACAAUCAAGGUUGUACCAUAUUGUACAUAUACCUGUCCCGUUAAUAUAAUAUAAUAUAUAUAUUUGAGUGAAAAGCCGUCUAGAUCCGGGUUAGAAUUGGCCAUUUAGCAACAUAUUCUUGUCGUAAGAGGGGGAUCGGGUUGUCAGGAUUGCACACUUUUUUAUACAUAUCAUCGUAUCCAACUCCAGUGUCGAUUAUUCACAGACCGCCGUCAUCUAGAUGAAAUAUUGCUUGCGGCAUUAAACAACAAUCAAUCGAAAAUCGUUUGAGUGUAAGGACCCUGUCAAGGCUGUUAAAGACAUCGCCAAAUUUCUAAAGCUGACACCCACAGACCAAUUUUGUGAAGAGGUUGCGGCUGCAUGUUCCUUUAAGAAGAUGAAGAAGGUUGACCAGGAAAUGAAAGGUGACCUUCCCUUGAAGAUAUGGAAAGAUGGCACCGAAUGGACGUUCUACAGGAAAGGUGAAAUCGGGGACUGGAAGAAUUGGUUCACUGUUGCAGAAAACGAAAGAUUUGACCAAAUAUGGAACGAGAAGAUGCAGGAUUCAGGGUUCGAGUUUACCUAUACACCGGUGUGAGGUCAUACCAAAUACAUUGGUUUCACGGGAACCGACAUAAUGGACUAUAUAAUACCCAAGAAGCCGAGUGUGCAGUGACAUUUUGCUUCAUAAAAUCAUUUUUCACCUACAGCAUCGCCAUAGCGCAUCAAUUUGAGACGAUGUUUCAUUUGUUACCUUAUAUCUAACACAUCUCAACUUCAAUGAACCUAAAUUGUGUUUAUUGCUCGUACACAAUAUCGGUAUACUGUCUCCAGUUUGUCCAAAACUAAUUUUGACCGUAACAUUUAUGGGGUUUUGCUUUGACUAGAACGGUAGCUGUGAUUAUUAACACUACUUUCAGGAUAGGUAAGUUGGCGAAAUCAUUGACUGCCGACUACACUAUCCUGCUAGCCAUAGACAUUGUGAAUAAAGAAAUAAUAUCAGACAUAAAAAUGAUAACAACGUUGAUGAUGAUGAUGUUGAUGAUGAUACACAAUACCAUACGUCUGAGGGGACCGAUUUGCUGUCUGCUUUGGCUGUUGAAGUCUUAUGUUCUGUGAUAUGGGUUUCUACUGGGUAGAAGGUUUCGCAUCAAAGAACAUAAGACUUCAACAGCCAGAGCAGACAGCAAAUCAGCCCUUCCAGACCUCCAGCUAAACAUCCCUGGCUAUCACGUUCAGUUUGACAAAAUCCAAAUCCACCCAACCAAAUAUCAGGACUUCACGAAAGGAAAACUCACAGAAGCCAUAGAAAGCCGUCACAAACCUUUGAUCAACAGAGCUCAUGGUCAUUACGCCUCCGUCUGCCUAUGACGAUCUAAUCAAGCAAUAGACUAUUUUUUUAUUAGGGUCCAAUCCUUUUAAUCCUUAGCCUUACUGCACAUCUGUCUUCACUGCCCGUGUGCUUCAUUACCUGUGUGCUAUUUGUUAUUCUUCCCUGUACAAUUGGCUUUAUCCAAUUAUCUGUUAUCUAAUACCCGUUGUCAGUGUUAAUCUGCUGCUUAUCACAAUAUAUCAUGCACAUCCACCUCUCAUUGUUUGGUUUUUGUCCCUCAAGCUUGAUAACGGUGUAAGAAUCUACACUGAAACGUCGCUAUAUGCAAUAAACAAGACGUUCCUAUCCA